rnacentral:ncRNA from 1 species
ACAGGUUUGGUCCUGACCUUAAUAUUAGCCAAAACUAUAAUUAUACAUGCAAGCUUCAACACCCCGGUGAGUAGCACCCCUUAUCUCCAACUAGAAAUAAUGGAGUUGGUAUCAGGCACAUAGCCCAAAACACCUUGCUAAGCCACACCUACAUAGGAUAUCAGCAGUAAUAAACAUUGAACAAUAAGUGAAAACUUGAUUUAGUAAUAGUUAUUAAAGUCGGUAAACCUCGUGCCAGCCACCGCGGUUAUACGAGGGACUUAAGUUAAUAUCUGCGGCCUAAAGAACAGUUAAAGAAAUAGAAUAUAGGAAUGAGAAUCUUUAAAGCUGUUAUACGCAAAAUAAGCCUAAAACCCCAAACAUACCUAUUUUACUUGAACCUGUUAAAGCCAGGAAACACACUGGGAUUAGAUACCCCACUAUGCCAGGCCACAAACUUUGAACUAUCCGCCAGAGCACUACGAGCCACAGCUUAAAACUCAAAGGACUUGGCGGUGCCCUAUACCCACCUAGAGGAGCCUGUUCUAUAAUUGAUAAUCCCCAAUAAACCUCACCACCUCUUGCAAACACAGCCUAUAUACCACCGUCACAAGCCCACCCCACCAAGGAAUAAUAGUAGGCUAAAUAAUUUAAAAUAAAAAAGUCAGGUCAAGGUGUAGCAUACGAGUCGGAAAGAAAUGGGCUACAUUUUCUCCAAAGAAAACACGGAAUAUUUCAUGAAAUAUAAUAUAAAGGAGGAUUUAGCAGUAAAAAGAAAACAGAGAGUUCUUUUUAAGCUGGCAAUAGGACGAGCACACACCGCCCGUCACCCUCUUCAAAUAAUUAAAAAGUAAAUAAAAUUAUAAAAACUACAGAAGAGGAAAGUCGUAACAUGGUAAGUCUACCGGAAGGUGGCCUUGGAA